rnacentral:rRNA from 1 species
UACAGAGGUCUCAAGCGUUGUUCGGAUUCAUUGGGCGUAAAGGGUGCGUAGGUGGCGCUGUAAGUCGGGUGUGAAAUUUCGGAGCUUAACUCCGAAACUGCAUUCGAUACUGCGGUGCUUGAGGACUGGAGAGGAGACUGGAAUUCAUGGUGUAGCAGUGAAAUGCGCAGAUAUCAGGAGGAACACCGGUGGCGAAGGCGGCGACCUGGGUAGAUACUGACGCUGGAGGCGCGAAAGCGUGGGGAGCAAACAGG